GCCGAGGACAAGCUUAUUUGUGAGUGUUCGAGAGACAUUGGGCAAGACCCCAAGACGGGCGCCGAACAAAAUCAUUCAACUUUUUGGAUUCGUGUCCACCAUGAGUUCCAUGAGCGCAAGAAGUUUCCGCCAUACCAAAUAGUAAGCACGUGCGGGUGGGUGUCCAUUUCGAAGCGAUGGAGGGUGAUCCAACAAGAGUGUAACAAGUUUUGUGCCACUCUUGAGAGCGUCAAGGCCCGCCCCGUGAGCGGCAUCGACAUGCAAGACAUGGUACGCUAG
rnacentral:rRNA from 1 species